GGAUGAGUUUGUCCAAGCAUUUCAUGAUUAUGAUCCAAGGCUACUAGGUGAGAUACAUUUUGCACUUUUGAGAACCAUAAUUAAAGAUAUUGAAGAUGUUGCAAGGACACCUGCCACUGGGUUGGGUGCAAAUCAGAACAGUGCUGCUAAUCCUGGAGGUGGACAUCCACAGAUUGUGGAAGGGGCGUAUGCAUGGGGUUUUGAUAUACGCAGCUGGCAACGUCACUUAAAUCCGUUAACAUGGCCUGAAAUAUUGCGACAGUUUGCCCUUUCUGCAGGAUUUGGGCCACAGCUGAAGAAAAGAAAUGUAGAGCCGGCAUACCUUCGUGAUGAUAAUGAGGUUAAUGAUGGUGAAGAUGUAAUUACUAACUUACGUAGUGGAGCAGCAGUUGAAAAUGCUGUUGCCAUAAUGCAAGAAAGGGGAUUUUCUAAUCAACGCAGAUCUAGGCAUCGCUUGACACCUGGUACUGUCAAAUUUGCUGCGUUUCAUGUUCUUUCUCUUGAAGCAAGCAAGGGUCUGACAAUAUUAGAAGUUGCAGAAAAGAUACAGAAAUCUGGACUAAGAGAUCUCACAACGAGCAAGACACCAGAAGCUUCAAUUGCUGCUGCUUUGUCAAGGGAUUCAAAACUUUUUGAGAGAACAGCUCCUUCAACGUAUUGUGUGCGUCCUGCCUAUAGGAAGGAUCCAGCGGAUGCCGAGCCAAUACUUUCUGCAGCCAGAGAAAGGAUCCGGAUAUUUAAAAGUGGUUUUGUAGAUGGAGAAGAUGCUGAUGAAGCAGAAAGAGAUGAAGAUUCUGAAAGUGAUGUUGCAGAUGAUCC
rnacentral:misc_RNA from 1 species